rnacentral:rRNA from 1 species
AGAGUUUGAUCAUGGCUCAGAACGAACGCUGGCGGCGUGGAUAAGACAUGCAAGUCGAGCGGGACUUUUCGUUGUAGCAAUACAGUGGAAAGUUCAGCGGCGAACGGGUGCGUAACACGUGGGCAAUUUGCCUUAAAGUGUGGGAUAGCUCGGCGAAAGCCGAAUUAAUACCGCAUGUGGCUACUGGAGACAUCUUCGGGACGCUAAAGGUGGCGCAAGCUACCGCUUUUUGAGAAGCCCGCGGCCUAUCAGCUUGUUGGCGAGGUAACGGCUCACCAAGGCUAUGACGGGUAGCUGGUCUGAGAGGACGACCAGCCACACUGGGACUGAGACACGGCCCAGACACCUACGGGUGGCAGCAGUCGAGAAUUUUUGACAAUGGGGGAAACCCUGAUCGAGCGACGCCGCGUGGAGGAUGAAGGUCUUCGGGUUGUAAACUCCUGUCAUUUGGGAACAAGGCGUAUUUAUUAACUGUAAGUACGUUGAUAGUACCAGAAGAGGAAGAGACGGCUAACUCUGUGCCAGCAGCCGCGGUAAUACAGAGGUCUCAAGCGUUGUUCGGAUUCAUUGGGCGUAAAGGGUGUGUAGGUGGCGCGCUAAGUCGGGUGUGAAAUUUCGGAGCUUAACUCCGAAACUGCAUUCGAUACUGGCGUGCUUGAGGACUGGAGAGGAGACUGGAAUUUACGGUGUAGCAGUGAAAUGCGUAGAUAUCGUAAGGAAGACCAGUGGCGAAGGCGGGUCUCUGGACAGUUCCUGACACUGAGACACGAAGGCCAGGGGAGCAAACGGGAUUAGAUACCCUAGUAGUCC